CAGUAGCCACGGUAAAACGUAGGUGGCAAGCGUUGUCCGGAAUUAUUGGGCGUAAAGGGCUCGCAGGCGGUUUCUUAAGUCUGAUGUGAAAGCCCCCGGCUCAACCGGGGAGGGUCAUUGGAAACUGGGAAACUUGAGUGCAGAAGAGGAGAGUGGAAUUCCACGUGUAGCGGUGAAAUGCGUAGAGAUGUGGAGGAACACCAGUGGCGAAGGCGACUCUCUGGUCUGUAACUGACGCUGAGGAGCGAAAGCGUGGGGAGCGAACAGGAUUAGAUACCCCUGUAGUCCCUGUCUCUUAUAC
rnacentral:rRNA from 1 species